AUCUAGCCGACGAGUCUUAAAUAGGACUAAAGGGGCGUCCUGGAU
rnacentral:hammerhead_ribozyme from 1 species